GAUGAACGCUAGCGGCAGGCUUAACACAUGCAAGUCGAGGGGUAUUGGUUUUCGGACCAAGAGACCGGCGCACGGGUGCGUAACGCGUAUGCAAUCUACCUUUUGCAGAGGGAUAGCCCCAGAGAAAUUUGGAUUAAUACCUCAUAGUAUAGUACUUUGGCAUCAAGGAACUAUUAAAGUCACAACGGCAAAAGAUGAGCAUGCGUCCCAUUAGCUAGUUGGUAAGGUAACGGCUUACCAAGGCUACGAUGGGUAGGGGUCCUGAGAGGGAGAUCCCCCCACACUGGUACUGAGACACGGACCAGACUCCUACGGGAGGCAGCAGUGAGGAAUAUUGGACAAUGGGGCGCAAGCCUGAUCCAGCAAUGCCGCGUGAGUGAUGAAGGCCUUUAGGGUUGUAAAGCUUCUUUGCCCGGGAUGAUAAUGACAGUACCGGGAG
rnacentral:rRNA from 1 species